rnacentral:misc_RNA from 1 species
GUCUUGAACAAUAAAAGUUCCUCUCCACUAGGAGGAAAUUUUUCUUGCAUCCAUUGAAAGCGAUUUAGAAGACCUUGUUCAGUGCCACAUAUGCCUUUGGGGUUUCCAGUAGAUCCAGAUGUAUACAUAACGUAACAAAACAGCCUCCCUUUCUCAUGCUCACAUGGAAAAACUAAAUCAACCUCACUACUAUGCUCUCGAACAGAACUUU